rnacentral:tRNA from 1 species
GAAAUUUUAGUUAAUCUUUAUAACAUUAACUUGUCAAGUUAAAAUUAUUCAUCUUGAAUAAAUUUCU